rnacentral:rRNA from 1 species
CCUACGGGGGGCAGCAGUGAGGAAUAUUGGUCAAUGGACGAGAGUCUGAACCAGCCAAGUAGCGUGAAGGAUGACUGCCCUAUGGGUUGUAAACUUCUUUUAUAUGGGAAUAAAACGUUCCACGUGUGGGAUUUUGUAUGUACCAUAUGAAUAAGGAUCGGCUAACUCCGUGCCAGCAGCCGCGGUAAUAAGGAGGAUCCGAGCGUUAUCCGGAUUUAUUGGGUUUAAAGGGAGCGUAGGUGGAUUGUUAAGUCAGUUGUGAAAGUUUGCGGCUCAACCGUAAAAUUGCAGUUGAAACUGGCAGUCUUGAGUACAGUAGAGGUGGGCGGAAUUCGUGGUGUAGCGGUGAAAUGCUUAGAUAUCACGAAGAACUCCGAUUGCGAAGGCAGUUCACUGGACUGCAACUGACACUGAGGCUCGAAAGUGUGGGUAUCAAACAGGAUUAGAUACCCCGGUAGUC